ACUUGCCGCCGUUAGCAACGGUUACCUCAGAGACCGAUGCCGGGCCUGAAAGUAAAAUAUGACCGUGGUUAUUAAAGUUUAAAAAUUAGAAAAGAAGAGUUUUAAAUUAAAUAAAACAAUUCAUCUACCUGAGACCGGCCUUUAUUUAUCUAAACACGUCAGUGUAUCCGGCCAGUAGAAGAGACUCAGCUGUUCAAUAUAGUUUUGGUUCCUGGUUUAGAAACACACACCUGUCCUGCAGCAGGGUCAACGUGUACGAGUCCACGUCUCCCGGUGGUUUUUGCCACGAUGCCUGAAGGCUGUCGACUCCAGAGCUACUCAGGGUGAUGACACAGAGGUGUUCUGUUUCCCGCUCCUGGUCGUCACGGUGAUGGUGUACCGUCUCCCAGGUGUGAGAACAUUGAACGUGCACUCCCUCAUGUUAGGCUCCACCUCUCUGUGGUCCGAAUGGUUACCGUGGCGAAUUGUCAGGAAGUAGCUGUCACGUGAACCCGAGGGGGCGUGGCUCCACAUGGCGCUGAGCGAG